UAGGGAAUAUUAGUAAUGGGCGCAAGCCUGAACUAGCAACGCCGCGUGUGCGAAGAAGGCCUUCGGGUUGUAAAGCACUUUUUGAGAGGAUGAGGAAGGACGGUACUCUCAGAAUAAGUCUCGGCUAACUACGUGCCAGCAGCCGCGGUAACACGUAGGAGGCAAACGUUAUCCGGAUUUACUGGGCGUAAAGCGCGUGUAGGUGGUUUGGUAAGUAGGGCGUGAAAGCUCCUGGCUCAACUGGGAGAGGUCGUUCUAAACUGCCGAGCUAGAGGAUGGUAGAGGGAGGUGGAAUUCCGGGUGUAGCGGUGGAAUGCGCAGAUAUCCGGAGGAACACCAGUGGCGAAAGCGGCCUCCUGGACCACUCCUGACACUCAGACGCGAAAGCUAGGGUAGCAAACGG
rnacentral:rRNA from 1 species